AAUUAGCCCCGACAUACGCGGAAAUACUUUUUGUUGCAUGUUAGGCCAUACAGCAGCUACCUUGAACAAAAAGAUUGCAGCAUUGGCGGGACUACCU
rnacentral:misc_RNA from 1 species